UACAGAGGGGGCAAGCGUUGUUCGGAAUUACUGGGCGUAAAGGGCUCGUAGGCGGCCAACUAAGUCCGACGUGAAGUCCCCAGGCUUAACCUGGGAACUGCGUCGGAUACUGGAUGGCUUGAAUCCGGGAGAGGGAUGCGGAAUUCCAGGUGUAGCGGUGAAAUGCGUAGAUAUCUGGAGGAACACCGAUGGCGAAGGCAGGUCUCUGGGCCAUUACUGACACUGAGAAGCGAAAGCAUGGGGAGCGAACAGG
rnacentral:rRNA from 1 species